rnacentral:rRNA from 1 species
GACGAACGCUGGCGGCGUGCUUAACACAUGCAAGUCGAACGAAGAGCGAUGGAAGCUUGCUUCUAUCAAUCUUAGUGGCGAACGGGUGAGUAACGCGUAAUCAACCUGCCCUUCAGAGGGGGACAACAGUUGGAAACGACUGCUAAUACCGCAUACGGUCUAAUCUCGGCAUCGAGGAUAGAUGAAAGGUGGCCUCUACAUGUAAGCUAUCACUGAAGGAGGGGAUUGCGUCUGAUUAGCUAGUUGGAGGGGUAACGGCCCACCAAGGCGAUGAUCAGUAGCCGGUCUGAGAGGAUGAACGGCCACAUUGGGACUGAGACACGGCCCAGACUCCUACGGGAGGCAGCAGUGGGGAAUCUUCCGCAAUGGACGAAAGUCUGACGGAGCAACGCCGCGUGAGUGAUGACGGCCUUCGGGUUGUAAAGCUCUGUUAAUCGGGACGAAAGGCCUUCUUGCGAAUAGUGAGAAGGAUUGACGGUACCGGAAUAGAAAGCCACGGCUAACUACGU